rnacentral:rRNA from 1 species
GAUGAACGCUGGCGGCGUGCCUAAUACAUGCAAGUCGAGCGAACGGACGAGAAGCUUGCUUCUCUGAUGUUAGCGGCGGACGGGUGAGUAACACGUGGAUAACCUACCUAUAAGACUGGGAUAACUUCGGGAAACCGUAGCUAAUACCGGAUAAUAUUUUGAACCGCAUGGUUCAAAAGUGAAAGACGGUCUUGCUGUCACUUAUAGAUGGAUCCGCGCUGCAUUAGCUAGUUGGUAAUGUAACGGCUUACCAAGGCAACGAUGCAUAGCCGACCUGAGAGGGUGAUCGGCCACACUGGAACUGAGACACGGUCCAGACUCCUACGGGAGGCAGCAGUAGGGAAUCUUCCGCAAUGGGCGAAAGCCUGACGGAGCAACGCCGCGUGAGUGAUGAAGGUCUUCGGAUCGUAAAACUCUGUUAUUAGGGAAGAACAUAUGUGUAAGUAACUGUGCACAUCUUGACGGUACCUAAUCAGAAAGCCACGGCUAACUACGUG